UCAGGAAAUGCAGUUGGGUACAGACUCACAGAAGGUGUGACUGUUUUCUGUUAUUCUAUCUCUGGCCAUUGCAGUCCUUGGGAAAGCAGCAGAGUCAUCAGCCCAAGAGAAACAAGAGUUAAUUUGGGGACUCUUGUUUGGCUUGGAGCCUUGUUGCUCUAGGUAGAUAGGGAGUGUGUUUGCAGGUCCACUGCAUCGCAAUGCAUCUUAAACGAGCAGCUAUGGAUUUAGGAGUCCACAGGCUGUGCUUUAAAAAUGGCUGUUAUUAAGGUCCUCAGAGACUAUUAUCCUGCAGGGUUCGUUGUCUUUGCUUUCAUAUCUCAUUCAAAAAUUCUCACACUUGUGCCCGAGAACAGUGGAGAGAAGGGAUAUGGUCUCCUGCCUCGGUACAUUGCCAGGUGCAAACCUUUAUUUCAAAAUCGAAUCUUUAAAAAUGCCUGGCCUUGGGUGGAUUCCCCUGGAGGAAACUGAGCAAAAUCCUAUUUGUCAGACCGCCUCAAGCAAUUGCAAACUCUGGUAACACGUGAUGCUUUCUCUCCUUGUCUGCCCCUUUGGUUUACUCUAGUCUUAAAAUUACUGUUUAAAAUCAAAGAGUUCACUUCAGAUAUACCAGGUUGGAAGUAACAUGGGAAUCAUCUUUUCUCUUCUGCAUCGCGUUUUCACUUGUUUGUUUUUAUUCUGUUACAGUGUGAAAAUUCUCUGCAUAUUUAUUCAUCACACAAACAUACAUGUAAGUGCCUAUGGUAUUUCCAAGAUUUCACUAGGAGCUAUGGGACCACAUCUAAUGUAAGACAGAUGUAGUCCCAGCCCUUAAAUUUCCUUCCUUCUGUCCUUCCUUCCUUCCUUCCUUCCUUCCUUCCUUCCUUCCUUCUUUCCUUCCUUUCUUCCUUCUUUCCUUCCUUUCUUCCUUCUUUCCUUCUAUCUUCCCUCCUUCCCAACUUUAUCUCCCUCCCACUAAUAUUUAAUAUAUCAGCAUCUAGGCCUCCAGUGGUGAAAGACAAGCUUCUACUUUCUUGACGUACACAGCCUAAUAAGGUGAACACAGAGAGAAAUAGGAUAAACAGGAAAGAAAUAGGGCAAACAGAUAAACAAAUAUUCAAUAAAAUAAGAAGGUUCUCUGAAGAUAGCAAGUGGAGGGUUAUGGUGAGAACAACGGUCUCCAUGUGGUGGGGAUGGAGUGUUCUUUGGUCACGGUGGUCAUGAAAUACCUAUGUAAGAAGGUUCAAUGUCACCUGAGACCUGAAGGAUGGAAAGACACCAGUUAUAAGAACACCCAAGGACACAGAAUUCCUUCUGAGUAAAAGGGGGACUCGGCCAUACUCCGUACCCUUUGAAUCUCGAUGUUGAUCUUUCUCAGCAUUAUCUCUUAGCUCCUGCCUACAGCUCUGGCUCCCACUGGCAUCCACUUGGAACUCAUUUUCCUCGGAACAGCCUCGUGUCUUCUCUGCUAGCGAGCUUGGAGUCAUGAAGGAAGAUAUUGCUAUAUGGCUUCAUUGCUCGUAAGUGGGUAUUGCCUGCGUGCGACAUCUCUCAGAGGAUCCUUGCCGACGGUAAUCUCGAAAGGCCUUCAUACUUAAACUUGAGAUUGCCCAUGUAAAUCGUAGAGACGGCCACGUAUGAAAAGUCUACGACGCGGAAGUCUUCCAGUACAGGGCAAGUAACUUCUGAGUUGGGCCACAUGCAAUACCACGCAAUCAUUACUUCAUUCAAGUAUCUGGGAGAUGCUCAGUUGGUGCAGGUUUCUGCGAUGCUCUGAGAGGAAUGCCCAGGCAACUGAAUUAUACUCCGGUUAGGGUGGAUGGUGAUUGGGAGAAAAUAUACUCUCUUUUUCAACGUAUGAAGAAAAGGAAGAGGAAGGUGUGGACAUGAAUAAAAAGAUAGGUAACACUGCCAUAUCCGCCAAAGAAAAUCUCACAAAUGAGAAAACUGACAAAAGAUCGAGGAUAUUUCUUCCUUCCUAGAACCCACUGCGCUGACGUCAGAACAUGGGUUUUUCAUCGUGUAGCCACUAAUCUUUCCCAAAGCAUUAGGUUCAGUUCAGAACAUCCUAGAGACCCUUGACCACACUGUUGACACAGACCCAGGGCAUUCUUGGCCUUUGGUCCUGUGAUGAUGCUCCUUUCAUGUGAGAACACAUACAUUUGAAAAACCAUCUCCAGGAGAGUAAGGUUUGCGAAGGCCUAGGUUUUAUUCAUGCCCAUAAGAUAAAUUAUGUAAGUUUUAACAAAGGACUAGGGCAGAGAAAAGGAGGCCUUUAUAGAUUAUUUUACAUCAUAAACAUUUUUAUAUGGGAGCUACACUGGAAUAUGUUCCAAAACAGUGCAAACUUGCUUCACAGUGCCCCGAGUAAGAAAGAAAAGAUUAUAGUCGGAUUUCAUCAUUGUCACUAAUCUUGACUAUAAAUAAAGAUGUCAGGUCACUCCAAGAAAGAGAAAUAGAAGUAGGAAACAGAUUAUGUUCAUAGCGCUUUACCACGGGCAAAGGUUUCUGGUCUACUCUUCUCAGAUAGGGACAGAGGGACGGUAAAGUUGCCGUGAAUCUCUGCGGAAAUUUCUGACAUAGUUGAGAGUUCAAUACAGAAAAACCUUAUCAGCGGGGCACUGAGAAACCAAUGUGGGUAAUACCUAAUUAUUAAUGUUAUCUUGAGUUGAAAAUAAAGGGACUUGCUGAAAAACC